rnacentral:rRNA from 1 species
UAGGGAAUCUUCCACAAUGGGCGCAAGCCUGAUGGAGCAACACCGCGUGAGUGAAGAAGGGUUUCGGCUCGUAAAGCUCUGUUGUUAAAGAAGAACACGUAUGAGAGUAACUGUUCAUACGUUGACGGUAUUUAACCAGAAAGUCACGGCUAACUACGUGCCAGCAGUCGCGGUAAUACGUAGGUGGCAAGCGUUAUCCGGAUUUAUUGGGCGUAAAGAGAGUGCAGGCGGUUUUCUAAGUCUGAUGUGAAAGCCUUCGGCUUAACCAGAGAAGUGCAUCGGAAACUGGAUAACUUGAGUGCAGAAGAGGGUAGUGGAACUCCAUGUGUAGCGGUGGAAUGCGUAGAUAUAUGGAAGAACACCAGUGGCGAAGGCGGCUACCUGGUCUGCAACUGACGCUGAGACUCGAAAGCAUGGGUAGCGAACAGGAUUAGAUACCCUGGUAGUCCAUGCCGUAAACGAUGAGUGCUAGGUGUUGGAGGGUUUCCGCCCUUCAGUGCCGGAGCUAACGCAUUAAGCACUCCGCCUGGGGAGUACGACCGCAAGGUUG